CAUAAAUUUUCACCAGCCAUCAUCGCGCGAGCACUCUGGUGGUGCAGCAGAAAGUCAGCAAGAAAAAAGUGGAAUUUUUUCCUGCUUCGAAAAAUCCGUCUUUUUUCGCUUGUGGUUCCUUCAAGACGACACCGAUUCGCGAUUUAGUGCUCGGUCGACGAACGAAAAGUGUAAAAAGACAGCCAGUGCUUGGAGCAAAAGUGCGAGGACGUGUCGGAAUCGGAACGAAAAUCUGCCCGCUGAUUAGAUUCAUUUUUUUCUUCGGGUUGCGGAAAACGUCGUCGGUGUUCCGCAGCGGUGCGUCGUCAUCGGUUCGGAUGUUUGUUUUGCGUAGCUCCGCCACGGGAAAAUCGUGCGAAGAAAAAUAAUUGUUUCGAAAUAUAGGUGCCACCCCCCACUCCACCCUCAUUUUUCGCCUCCUAGUUCAUGGAAGGUGGUGUAAAAGAAGUACUCGCAGGAUAAACAAUGGCACCGAAAUAGAUUCCGUUUGGGAUUUUUUGUGUGUGAUUUGAUUCGGGGGGAUUGUUUGUGUAUCAGAUGCAUUUUCCCUCGGUGGUUCGACGGUGAUUUCGUGUUUCCCAGUGAAAAUAAAAAUAUCAAGUAGAAAACGAAGUUGAAUGUGAAGUUUGAAGAAGACAGAUUCCUGCUAUCGACAGCGAACCUGGAUUAUUGGAGCGACCAGUGGACGGUAGAGGGGCAGCCGAGGGGAAAUUGAUGUGCUUGGGAGUUUUCUCCAUUCACUUAAACUGUGGCGAACAGGCAGACGCAAAGACAGACAGUCCAAAGGAGACGUAGAUCGUCUUUUGCUUUUGCGAGCAGUCUAGUUGUUGAGAUAAUGCUGCCACUAGUGUCGUGAUAAAUGGUGUGAAACAUUCCUGAACGGAGCAUUUAGAGCAGUGCGUGUCCUCCCCCAUCCGAACACCAGAGGAAGAUUGAUUGCUGUUAGAAAUAAGUUCAGUGUUGUGAAAGUUUAACUACGCUUGAUACGAUCUCAGGAAGCAAUUGGCGGCAGGUCCGCACUGCUAACGCUAUGAAUACAUCCGAAUUCCCAACCUCCAUCAAUCGAAACUCGCCGAAGCAUGAUUUCCCCCUACACAACAAUUUCGCGAACAACACCAGCAGUAGCAGUAGUGACAAUGGUGGACUUGAUUAUCACAACUACCCAAGUCCGGGUAGCCCUGGUGGAACAGGACCACCACCGCCUCCGCCUGGCUCGGCCCAGCAGCAAGAUUUAACCAUCGAUGGUAUCCCGAACAAUUUCCCUCAUCGGAGAUCCCGAGCUUCAAGAACCUUCAAGAAUCCACCUCAGCCGCACAUGUGCAUCAAAGAGAAGACCAUCGACGGCAAGGAGGUUUUUAUCAAUGUGCUCAGCUGGACCCGGAUCGCUAAUCCGGACAACCCCGAGGCACCGAUUCCUCUGUAUGGUGGGAUGAAAGUCGGAAAGAUUCCGCCGGGCAGCCCCCGUAUGCCACCGCUGGUUUACGCGGUGAUGGCCAACCCCGAGGUGCUCAAGAAGGCCGGGAGAAAGUGUCCGGAUACGCCGGAACGAAUGAAUUUAGUUGAUCUCAUGUGUGAAUUUGUGGAGGCUGUGAAUCCCACCUUGCAUUUAUCGCGGAAACCGGAAAUUCUCAAGGAUCGUGAUCUCUCCGGCGAACUAAAGGACGUGUGGAGCGCGGUGCAAGCUUGUCGCGACAAAGGACGUGUCGAUAGUGGCCCACCAGAAAAUCUAGUCGUAUACACCGAGUUUGGGCCGGAUACGGCACCGUCAUACGAGCAAUCUCAACAACAACAACUUCAUCAACAAAGACACCAACCACAGCAGCCGCACCUCCACUACCAGCAGCAGGAUGAUUUCCAAAUCCGACUUGGGCCAUCUCAGUAUGAUCACACUCCAUCCCCAUCGCCAUACGAACAACAAGCGCCGCAUUUCCAUCAUCACGGUCGCCACAUAGCGGAUGACUCAUCACUCAGCUAUGACCCGCAUAACAGUCCUAGCAACAUUCCGUUACAGGCCCAUAAGCAUCAACAAAGUGCAAUUAUAAACAACAGUAUUGAAUCGAACUCAGAGAAACAUUGUCCGUGCGAUGUUCCCGAUAGUGCCAGCAGCGAAAAACCACUGAACAUCGUCUGCAGCAUCGAAGAUUUGAGCAGGGAAACUGAGAGUCUAUCGCUUUCGCCAACGCCAAGUAGUGGAAAAAACUCGACAAAAUCCAACGGUCUCACACUGCCAACCGGAAAUGGGGAAGUCACAUCGUCUUUUUCGUCGGAUAAUACCGCAGCGACCUCACCAUCUUCAUCAACUGUAACCAGCAGCGAAUCCAGUAAUCCAGUGCCAGUAGCUUCCAAGCAACAAACAUCACCGACGUCGCCAACACAGCAACAACAACAGCCACAGCAAACGGCGACGGUUAGUCCUACAGCGGCAGCACCACCCGCACCGCAGAAAGAGACAAAAAAUUCCUCCAGCCAUAAUUUUUUCCCGAUGUUCCGAUCUUCCAAAUCGUCGUCAAACAGUGAUAAAUCCUUAUCAAAUAAUCUGAACCACAAUGAUAAGGACAAAGACAAGGACGGGACGGGUGGCAGUGACUCUUCUCCGGCUCCAGAUACUCCCGUUAAGACGAGUAGCAAAAAGAGCGGGCUGAACUUUUUCCGACGGAACAAAUCUUCCGAGAGUAAAAAGGAACAACCGUCGACACCGACGAAGCAAGUUGGAACAGCAGUAGCGGUGGCCACGCAGCAGCAGCAACAGCCAACGACAGCAGAAAACAACAAACUGAAUCUGUUGGUGGAUGAAAGCUUGAUGCAUCACCACCAUCACCAUCAUCACCACAUCGACGGUAACAAUGGGACGGCAGAGAUCAUUGAAAACAGUUCGGCUACCAUUGCGGCAAAAUAGAUCAGGAUGAUCAGAACGGAUGGAAACAGGUGCGAGGCAGUUGUGAUAGGAUGAUGGCGCAUGUUGUUGAUUGCCACCGGGGGCUCUGGUGGGUACGAAUAAGGAUGUGAUUUGUGAAUAGCCAAAUUGAUGCGGAGAAAUGCCAACAGCAAAAACAUCAUAAACAAUAUGGCUAUGUUAGCUAUGCGAGAAAUAUUUCCAAACUUCCAACUUAAAAGAACAGCAAAUGCGAUAAAAUAGCAAAAAGAAAAAAAAAUGUGAACUCCAAUUACAAAACAGUGGAAAAGGAACGGAAGUAGGUAUAUCGGUGAAUGUGAGAUUUAAAACAUGCUGUCGCAUCAUACUGCAGCAAAUAGCACGUAAGCAAAAUAUGAAAAAUAUCAACAGCAAAAACACAA